rnacentral:tRNA from 1 species
GCCCUGGUAGUGUAGUGGCCUAUCAUGGGGCCCUGUCGAGGCCCCGACCCGGGUUCGACGCUUUAAGCCCUAUAAAGAGCAAAAAUGAAAAUCCCGGCCAGGGCG